GACGAACGCUGGCGGCGUGCCUAACACAUGCAAGUCGAGCGGAGAAUGCGGAUAUGUUUACAUAGAAGCGUUCUUAGCGGCGGACGGGUGAGUAACACGUGGGUAACCUGCCUCAAAGUGGGGGAUAGCCUUCCGAAAGGAAGAUUAAUACCGCAUAAGCCUACAGUGCCGCAUGGUACAGUAGGAAAAGGAGCAAUCCGCUUUGAGAUGGACCCGCGGCGCAUUAGCUAGUUGGUGAGGUAACGGCUCACCAAGGCGACGAUGCGUAGCCGACCUGAGAGGGUGAUCGGCCACAUUGGAACUGAGACACGGUCCAGACUCCUACGGGAGCAGCAGU
rnacentral:rRNA from 1 species